rnacentral:rRNA from 1 species
UACAGAGGGUGCAAGCGUUAAUCGGAAUUACUGGGCGUAAAGCGCGCGUAGGUGGUUUGUUAAGUUGGAUGUGAAAGCCCCGGGCUCAACCUGGGAACUGCAUCCAAAACUGGCAAGCUAGAGUACGGUAGAGGGUGGUGGAAUUUCCUGUGUAGCGGUGAAAUGCGUAGAUAUAGGAAGGAACACCAGUGGCGAAGGCGACUCACUGGACACAUAUUGACGCUGAGGUGCGAAAGCGUGGGGAGCAAACAGG